GUGCUACCUGGGCAGCACAUGUACCCAAACUGGACUGAUCAGGGGAGACUAGCAUGGCCACUGCACAAGAUGAUAGGCAAAGUCACGAAGCAUUCCAGAUUUUA
ensembl:snRNA U6 U6 spliceosomal RNA